UUAAUUCAUAAUUGUCAUAAAAUAUUUAUUUUUAGCGACAAUUAACACUCAUUGUGUAUGUCCCUAAAGCCUUUAACGACAUUGAUCUAAUGAUACUUAGCUAAUACCGAUGAAGACUUUAGACUCUUUAUAAAUAUCAAUAUUUAAUGCCACUAAAGGUCAUUUUUAUUGUAGUGAUCCCUAUAAAAAAAAUUCUAGACUAUAAUAUGUUAACUAUUGCUUUUCUUGACGAUGCCGUGAAGACUUGGCAAAAUACCAAUUAUGUAAGUGAAUAAUAAUACAUUUGAAAAACACAAUCAAAGGUUUUCAAGUAAUUGACAGCAUGAAGAAGAACAGUUUCUUAUUGAUUCUUCUCUUUAUAAUUAAAUUUUAUACAUCACUUGCUUCCUCAAAUGAGACAGACUAACAAGUUCUACCAGAUUUUUAAAAUCUUGUGACAAGUCCCAGUCAUUUAUUUGCCAAUAAUUGGACCAAAAAUACUUGUUUUUGCUCUUGGUUUGGUGUCACUUGCAUUUCAAAAAGGCAAAGGGUUUUGGCCUUGGCUAUUUCUAAUUUGCAAUUUCAAGACACAAUUUCCCCGUCUUUGGCCAAUUUGUCCUUUCUCAGAGAGCUCAAUCUUGGGAACAACUUAUUCCGCAAUGAAAUUCCUGAUAUUCAAAAUAAUCAACUCCAAGGAAGUACUCCGACAAGCCUAUUUUAGCACCAGACAGUUUGAAAGAUUUCAUUGGCUUUCAAUAAACUCAACGGUGAAAUGUGGAAAGGUCCAUGUCUAAGGAUGUGGAAAAGGUAUUAGAGAUCAAGACUCAUUAAUUAGAUUCUUAUCACGAGAUUCAACGAGCAACAAAUAACUUUGAUAGAUCAAAUUUAAUUGGCGAGUGAAGCUCUGGAUCUGUAUACAAAGGCACAUUAUCCAGUGGAACUCUGGUGGCAAUAAAGGUUCUGAAUUUGGAAAAUGAGCAAUUAUGCAAGAGGUUUGAUGCCGAAUGCGAAGUCAUGAGAAAUAUUAGACACAGAAAUCUUGUCACUAUGAUUACUACUUGUUCUAGGGACUAUAGAACAGCCUUUGUUCUUAAAUAUAUGUCUAAUGGGAGCCUACUCCAAAGAAUUACUAUAAUGCUUGAUGUGGAUGUGGCUGUCGAAUAUCUACACCAUGGUCAUAACACUCCAAUAGUUUAUUGCGGCCUAAAGCUAGCCAAAGUUCUUUUAUAUGAAGAUUUGGUGGGUCAUGUCGGUGAUUUUUGAAUCUCUUAAAUUUUCGUCGUAAGCAAGUCCAAGGCACAUACAGAGACAUUGAGCACUCUUGGAUAUACUGUACCAGCUAAACGAGUAUCUUUCUAUUUUUAGAAAUCACAGUCUAGCGCUUCCGAAUACUAGAACUAAACAAAAGUAAUUGUCUUGUUAAUACAUAAUUAUUCUUA